rnacentral:misc_RNA from 1 species
CUUCUGUAAUACCCCAGCUGUUAAAAGUCUCCGUGAGCGACCAUACAUCUGGGAAACAUGUAAAUGAUCGUCCCGAUCUUAUGCUAUCUCAUACCGGUAUUGCACAUGCGUUCUUCAUUUAUUUAACUCUUAUUUACAGUUCAAAUAUGUUGCAUAACGAUAAGGAAAAAUACUGGGAAUUAGUUGAGGUUUUGCCCGCGUUUAGAAUACGUUUGAACAAACUCUAAGUUUGUUUCAAAAUUUAUACAUCAACGUAACAGGUUAAUUUGGACACAUAAAUAUGUUUAGGUGUUUUUUUCUAUUCUCUUUUGAGAAGUGGAUAAAAGCUAUGCCUGUCCACUUCAUAAAACAGAAAAAGUUUUUACCUGGUGUGAGAAACAAUUCAGAGAGAGAAAAAAGAGGAGCGGCUAAUAGUUAUGUUAUAAUAAUAUUAGUCUAUAUUUUUGGAAGUUAUAGUUUUUUUUACGUUAUUAUAAGGUGGAUGGGUAUGCCACGGUUAGCUUCAUUAUUACAUGUAUAUCGUAAAAUAUUCUUACAUGUAAUAAAGCAUUUUACAAAG